ACCAAAAUGUGCACCCCUUUGGGGUCCUGGGGACUGAAUUUGUCAAACCUUGCAUAAGACCCUUUAUUUUUUAGAAAAACUAAAAUGUUCUAUUCAUCAGGCAGAUAAGCCUCAUGACCAUCUGAAGAACUGACCUGUGACAUUCUGGAGUGUGUGUAUGUGUGUACAGGUCAUUGUCAGAUGGAUGGCUGGAUUGAUAGAUCCUGUUUGUCUGCCUUCCAGUGCAUACAUGGGCAGAUGGAUAGAUAGUGUCUGGAGACCGUUGCUGGGUGUUAAGAAGACCAGGACCAGCUCCUAUCAUUUGCAAUGUGAUGGAAUGGUGGAACGAUUUAAUUGAACACUCCGCAAUCAGCUGGCUAAGACACAGCUCCAAUAGCCUGAAUCUCUCAUCUCCACCUCUGCCUCCAGAGUAGAGGGCACUGCAUGGGGCUCACGGAGCAGAGUAUCCGUCUCCCUGCCCGAGCGUAGUGACCACGACUCCCCAGCAGGCCGAAGCACAGCGUGGCGCCUGCAGGCACCCGUGGGGCGAACAUGUUGGAGAACACAGGCAGGAAGUGGAAGGAGACAAAGUUGGGAGCCUGGGAGUAGGCCUUGUCCCCCACCACUCACGGGUAGGGUGAGGAGGGUUCUUCUUGUUUCACCUGGGAAAUAUAACUUAACAAAAUAAUAAAUCCAAACUCGCAUCC